UACGGAGGGUGCAAGCGUUAUUCGGAUUCACUGGGCGUAAAGGGUGCGCAGGCGGCCAAGUGUGUGAGGCGUGAAAGCCCGGGGCUUAACCCCGGAAUUGCACCUCAAACUACAUGGCUAGAGCAUUGGAGAGGGUAGCAGAAUUCAUGGUGUAGCAGUGAAAUGCGUAGAUAUCAUGAGGAAUACCAGAGGCGAAGGCGGCUACCUGGACAAUUGCUGACGCUCAGGCACGAAAGCGUGGGGAGCAAAAGGG
rnacentral:rRNA from 1 species